rnacentral:rRNA from 1 species
AGUUUGAUCAUGGCUCAGGAUGAAUGCUGGCGGCGUGCCUUAAGCAUGCAAGUCGAACGAACUAGUUUACUAGUUAGUGGCGGACGGGUGAGUAACGCGUAGGAAUCUACCCCAAGGUGUGGAAUAACCCAGAGAAAUUUGGGCUAAUACCGCAUGUGCUCUACGGAGUAAAGAUCGUAACUGAUCGCCAUGGGAGGAGCCUGCGUCCUAUCAGCUUGUUGGUGAGGUAAAGGCUCACCAAGGCGAUGACGGGUAGGGGGCGUGAGAGCGUGUCCCCCCACAAGGUCACUGAUACACGGGGCCUACACCUACGGGUGGCAGCAACUAGGAAUAUUGCGCAAUGGGCGAAAGCCUGACGCAGCGACGCCGCGUGCGGGAUGAAUGCCUUCGGGUUGUAAACCGCUGUGGAGAGGGAAGAUAAUGACGGUACCUCUCUAGAAAGCACCUGCUAACUACGUGCCAGAAGCCUCGGUGAUACGUAGGGUGCAAGCAUUAUCCGGAUUUAUUGGGCGUAAAGAGUAUCGUAGGCGGUUGAAUAAGUGAUUGGUGAAAUCCUCUGGCUCAACCAGAGAAUUGCCAGUCAUACUGUUUAACUAGAGUGAUUUCGGGAAGGCUGGAAUUCUCGGUGUAGGGGUGAAAUCCGUUGAUAUCGAGAAGAACACCAAGGGCGAAGGCAGGCCUUUAGGAAUCUACUGACGCUGAUGAACGAAAGCUUGGGGAGCAAAAGGGAUUAGAGACCCCUGUAGUCCAAGCCGUAAACGUUGCCCACUAGAUGGUUUUAAUUUAUUAGAACUGUCGUAAGCUAACGCGUUAAGUGGGCCGCCUGGGGAGUACGGCCGCAAGGCUAAAACUCAAAGGAAUUGACGGG